rnacentral:antisense_RNA from 1 species
CUCUAGCAUCAAACUUCAGCUGCUACAGAGAAAGCCAGGUGUAUGGAGCAAACAAAGCCUGCAGCCUGGGAGAUUAGGAACCGCUCCUAACAACGGACUUAAUAACAUCACAUUAAUCACCUGAUUGGAUUCUUCCAACUUGAAGCUCACAGAAGGUGAGUUACCUCAGUCCCUUCUCCUGAGAGCACUCCCUCAGACACUUGAACAAGUCUCCACUCGGGCUCUGCUUCUAGAACACAUGACCCAAGACACUAGGCAACUCCUGGUUAACUGAGGACACUCUGCCAGGGUUCAAUAACUCAAGCUAUCCUUCACCCUCGUCUCUCAUACUCACUCCUGUGGUCGCUGAGUAUCACCUCAUUACC